CAUGCUUUAUACAUGCAAGUCGAACGCGAAAGUGUCUUCGGACAUUAGUAGAGUGGCAAACGGGUGAGUAACGCGUGGGAAUAUACCUUAUAGUACGGAAUAGCCUUGGGAAACUGGGAUUAAUACCGUAUACGCCCUGAGGGGGAAAGAUUUAUCGCUAUAAGAUUAGCCCGCGUCAGAUUAGCUAGUUGGUGGGUUAAUGGCCUACCAAGGCAACGAUCUGGAGCUGGUCUGAGAGGAUGAUCAGCCACAUUGGGAGAGAGAUACGGCACAACCCCAUGCGGGAGGCAGCAGUAGGGAAUAUUGAAAAAUGGACGAAAGUCUGAUCCAGCAAUGCCACGUGAGUGAUAAAGGCCUUAGGUUUGUAAAGCUUUUUUAGUAGGGAAGAUAAGGCCGGUACAUACAAAAAAAGCACCGGCUAAUUUCGUGCCAGCCGCCGCAGUAA
rnacentral:rRNA from 1 species